UUGAACGCUGGCGGCAGGCCUAACACAUGCAAGUCGAGCGGUAGCACAGAGAGCUUGCUCUCGGGUGACGAGCGGCGGACGGGUGAGUAAUGUCUGGGAAACUGCCUGAUGGAGGGGGAUAACUACUGGAAACGGUAGCUAAUACCGCAUAACGUCGCAAGACCAAAGUGGGGGACCUUCGGGCCUCAUGCCAUCAGAUGUGCCCAGAUGGGAUUAGCUGGUAGGUGGGGUAACGGCUCACCUAGGCGACGAUCCCUAGCUGGUCUGAGAGGAUGACCAGCCACACUGGAACUGAGACACGGUCCAGACUCCUACGGGAGGCAGCAGUGGGGAAUAUUGCACAAUGGGCGCAAGCCUGAUGCAGCCAUGCCGCGUGUGUGAAGAAGGCCUUCGGGUUGUAAAGCACUUUCAGCGGGGAGGAAGGCGAUAAGGUUAAUAACCUUGUCGAUUGACGUUACCCGCAGAAGAAGCACCGGCUAACUCCGUGCCAGCAGCCGCGGUAAUACGGAGGGUGCAAGCGUUAAUCGGAAUUACUGGGCGUAAAGCGCACGCAGGCGGUCUGUCAAGUCGGAUGUGAAAUCCCCGGGCUCAACCUGGGAACUGCAUUCGAAACUGGCAGGCUAGAGUCUUGUAGAGGGGGGUAGAAUUCCAGGUGUAGCGGUGAAAUGCGUAGAGAUCUGGAGGAAUACCGGUGGCGAAGGCGGCCCCCUGGACAAAGACUGACGCUCAGGUGCGAAAGCGUGGGGAGCAAACAGGAUUAGAUACCCUGGUAGUCCACGCUGUAAACGAUGUCGAUUUGGAGGUUGUGCCCUUGAGGCGUGGCUUCCGGAGCUAACGCGUUAAAUCGACCGCCUGGGGAGUACGGCCGCAAGGUUAAAACUCAAAUGAAUUGACGGGGGCCCGCACAAGCGGUGGAGCAUGUGGUUUAAUUCGAUGCAACGCGAAGAACCUUACCUGGUCUUGACAUCCACAGAACUUUCCAGAGAUGGAUUGGUGCCUUCGGGAACUGUGAGACAGGUGCUGCAUGGCUGUCGUCAGCUCGUGUUGUGAAAUGUUGGGUUAAGUCCCGCAACGAGCGCAACCCUUAUCCUUUGUUGCCAGCGGUUAGGCCGGGAACUCAAAGGAGACUGCCAGUGAUAAACUGGAGGAAGGUGGGGAUGACGUCAAGUCAUCAUGGCCCUUACGACCAGGGCUACACACGUGCUACAAUGGCAUAUACAAAGAGAAGCGACCUCGCGAGAGCAAGCGGACCUCAUAAAGUAUGUCGUAGUCCGGAUUGGAGUCUGCAACUCGACUCCAUGAAGUCGGAAUCGCUAGUAAUCGUAGAUCAGAAUGCUACGGUGAAUACGUUCCCGGGCCUUGUACACACCGCCCGUCACACCAUGGGAGUGGGUUGCAAAAGAAGUAGGUAGCUUAACCUUCGGGAGGGCGCUUACCACUUUGUGAUUCAUGACUGGGGUG
rnacentral:rRNA from 1 species